rnacentral:lncRNA from 1 species
UUUGAGUAUAAUCUAUUUCUUCUGCUCGAAUUAUCUAAACAAAACGAAGCGUAGUGUGAUACGGCAGAUGCUCGUAUCAUGUCAGAACAAGGCAGCAGCAAAAAAUGGGUUCAGCAGGCACUCCAGGAUGGUUCUCCAUCAAUCAACAAAUACAACGACUGCGUCUCUACUGCAGUGCUUUCGGGAUUUGUCUGCACCAGCUGAGAAGCCAUAUGUAUUCACAGAAAGAACUUGCCCUCCGCAGCUCAGCAAAACAAGGCUGCAGCACUUGUGCUCCUGGGAAAAAAAAUUAGCAGGCGCCAUCAUUAUGUACUCAAUGAAAUAAUUGUGCCAGGACCUGUAACAGGAGAUGACACAUGAGACUCAAAGUUGAAUAAAAUCUCACCUUUCAGAAGACGACUAGAAGGGGCUGCCAGUCAUCACCACACAGCUACUUUUAAAUUUGGACAGCUACAAAAACUAUAAUUGCAGUGGUCAGUGGAUUCAUCUAUUUUGAAUUGGAGACCUUCAGUAGCUCAUGGAAUGCUUCUUG